rnacentral:rRNA from 1 species
UACGUAGGGGGCAAGCGUUGUCCGGAUUUAUUGGGCGUAAAGAGCGUGUAGGCGGCCAGACAGGUCCGUUGUGAAAACUCGAGGCUCAACCUCGAGACGCCGAUGGAAACCGUCUGGCUAGAGUCCGGAAGAGGAGAGUGGAAUUCCUGGUGUAGUGGUGAAAUGCGUAGAGAUCCGGAGGAACACCAGUGGCGAAGGCGACACGCUGGGCCGUACCUGACGCUAAAGCGCGACAGCAUGGGGAGCAAACGGG